UGUUACGUGUGUACAUGUUAGGUAGUGGUGGAUUGUCUUAAUGUUACGUGUGUACAUGUUAGGUAGUGGUGGAUUGUCUUAAUGUUACGUGUGUACAUGUUAGGUAGUGGUGGAUUGUCUUAAUGUUACGUGUGUACAUGUUAGGUAGUGGUGGAUUAUCUUAAUGUUACGUGUGUACAUGUUAGGUAGUGGUGGAUUAUCUUAAUGUUACGUGUGUACAUGUUAGGUAGUGGUGGAUUAUCUUAAUGUUACGUGUGUACAUGUUAGGUAGUAGUGGAUUAUCUUAAUGUUACGUGUGAGCAUGUUAGGUAGUGGUGGAUUAUCUUAAUGUUACAUGUGAGCAUGUUAGGUAGUGGUGGAUUAUCUUAAUGUUACGUGUGUACAUGUUAGGUAGUGGUGGAUUAUCUUAAUGUUACGUGUGUACAUGUUAGGUAGUGGUGGAUUGUCUU